UACGUAGGGGGCAAGCGUUUGUCCGGGAAUUAUUGGGCGUAAAGCGCGUGUAGGCGGUCCGGUAAGUCGGGCUGUGAAAAGUCCCAGGGCUCAACCCCUGGGAUGCCGGUCGAUACUGCCGGACUAGAGUUCGGAAGAGGCGAGUGGAAUUCCCGGUGUAGCGGUGAAAUGCGCAGAUAUCGGGAGGAACACCAAUGGCGAAGGCAGCUCGCUGGGACGUUACUGACGCU
rnacentral:rRNA from 1 species